AACCUAAUUUGCUCUAAUUCUGGGCUGGAGCCUUCCCUCAACAGCUGCUUCAGAAAACCAGUACCUACCUGACAGAUAACACCAGACGAACAGACUACUUGCUCUGUCUUGAAAAACUACUAAUAUUAGAGAAAAACAUGCAGCCUCAGCUCUGCCAUCUCACCACUUGUAGCAGCAUCAACUACGGAGGAACAUUCAGGAUCAGCAACCAAAUCUAACAAACUCUUCAUCCAAACCUCUUCAUCAAGAGGGAACACUGCUGUCAUGGAGAUCAGGCUGCUGGAGAUUAUAUCCUGACUCAUAACCAACUAUACUGUGGGAUAGAGGGAUGUGCAGAGUGAACCCACGUAAGAAAAAACUGUACGCAGGAGAAACCUGUGGCAAGCAUGGUGCUGCUAUGUAGUAACAGAACAUGAAUGGCCUGUGUGAAGCAGCCAUGGCAAAACCUUCCUGUCCUCUGGUCAUGCCUGUGAUAGCUGUAGCAUUAUAUUGCUUCUUCCUUUCUAGAAGAAAUGCUAGUGUGCCAGUGGUGAUUCCAUGGCAUCAAAGACGCAGAAGGACUCUGAACUAAAAAAACAGAACAGCAGAUGGAAAAACAUCCAUCAAAAGCCAUUAAGUAGAAAGGUGCUGCCUCCAGCUUAAAAAUUCUUUGGUGAGCAAAUUUCAGAAGGCUGGAAGAUGUCUCAGAAGAAACCAUUCAUUUUCAUGGUUCCUAUAUUCUUUCCUACAGCCAUGGUGUCAGCUACUUCCUGAGACAGAAUACACACAACAGGACAAUAUGUUGAUGAUAUGAUAAUUCUUUACCAUCUUAUGGGAGCACCUGUAUGAAUACUUAAUUCUUACUGACUUCAGUAAUGGCUUAAAGAAUUCAGAUCCAGAAGAAAAGAAGCUGGCUGAAUCAUCUCCCUCAAACAUGGAGCACAAAGAGCACACGGCCUUCUUUACUCCCACCCGCUGCUUUGCCCAAAGACUACUGCAACCUGAAUCCUAUUUGGUACCCAUUGUGGGUACUGGAUUUCUAAGGAUAAGGUUAAUUUAAAACCAACCUCCAUUAGUACAGACCAUUUUUGGAAACUUCCAGCCUAAAGCAUCAGGCACUCUCUGCAGGCAAGCAGACUUGAUCGUGUCUUGAUGGCAUGCAGUCUAAUUAGCAAAUCAGACUCCACUUAAUCAGAAGUCUUGUGCCCUUAACUAUUAAUUAAUUAAAGUUAUGUUUU
rnacentral:lncRNA from 1 species